CCCCUAGAUGUUCUGGGCCGCACGCGCGCUACACUGAACAGUUCAACAAGUCUUAACCUUGGCCGAUAGGUCUGGGUAAUCUUUGAACGCUGUUCGUGAUUGGGAUAGAACUUUGCAAUUAUGGGUCUUCAACGAGGAAUUCCUAGUAAACGCAAGUCAUCAGCUUGCAUUGAUUACGUCCCUGCCCUUUGUACACACCGCCCGUCGCACCUACCGAUUGAAUGGUCCGGUGAAAUCUCGGGACGGCGGCUUGGUCGCUUGCGUCCGACUGCUGAAACUUGAUUAAACCAUAUCAUUUAGAGGAAGGUGAAGUCGUANCA
rnacentral:rRNA from 1 species